UACGUAGGGUGCUAGCGUUAUCCGGAAUCACUGGGCGUAAAGCGUGCGUAGGCGGCUUGUUAAGUGAGAUGUGAAAGCGUGGGGCUCAACCCUGUCGUUGCAUCUCAUACUGGCAGGCUAGAGGACGGCAGAGGCAAGUGGAAUUGGUAGUGUAGCAGUGAAAUGCGUAGAUAUUACCAGGAACACCAAUGGCGAAGGCGGCUUCCUGGACCGACACUGACGCUGAGGCGCGAAAGCUAGGGGAGCAAACGGG
rnacentral:rRNA from 1 species